CACUUAAUGUGUGCCAAGAUCUGUUCAUUUAUGAUCUCACCGCAUCCUGUGAGGUUGGCAUUGUUGUCUGGCAUUGUCUGAUAUACAACAGUGCCAACCUCACAGGACUCAGUGAGGUGAAACUGAGGAUUAGGAAGGUGUA
rnacentral:pre_miRNA from 1 species